rnacentral:rRNA from 1 species
UCUCAAAGAUUAAGCCAUGCAUGUCUAAGUAUAAGCGAAAGCGAAACUGCGAAAUGGCUCAUUAUAUCAGUUAUAGUUUAUUUGAUAGUUUUCCUAUAUGGAUAACCGUAGUAAUUCUAGAGCUAAUACAUGCACGAAGUCCGGAUCCCUCGGGAGAAGGAUGCGUUUAUUAGAUACAACCUUCAACACAGGUGAAUCAUAAUAACCGAGCGAACCUCGAUAGAGGUGGUUCAUUCAAGUUUCUGCCCUAUCAGCUUUCGAUGGUAGGGUAUUGGCCUACCAUGGCGUUAACGGGUAACGGAGAAUUAGGGUUCGAUUCCGGAGAGGGAGCCUGAGAAACGGCUACCACAUCCAAGGAAGGCAGCAGGCGCGUAAAUUACCCAAUCCUAAAGCAGGGAGGUAGUGACAAGAAAUACCGACGGGUGACUUAAUGUCGCCCAUUGGAAUGAGGACAAUUUAAAACCCUUACCGAGGAUCAAUUGGAGGGCAAGUCUGGUGCCCAGCAGCCCGCGGUAAUUCCAGCCUCCAAUAGCGUAUAUUAAAGUUGUUGCAGUUAAAAAGCUCGUAGUUGAAUUUCUGAGCUCGCCGAGCGGCGGUCUUUGGCCGACCACUCCCGCAAGUUCAUCCUCGCCCCUCGGGGCGUCAUUUACUGUGAAAAAAUUAGAGUGUUUAAAGCAGGCUUUAGGCUUGAACACAUUAGCAUGGAAUAAUGAGAUAGACCAAGUCGUAUUUUGUUGGUUGCGCGAUUCGGUAAUGAUUAAUAGGGACAGUUGGGGGUAUUCAUAUUUAAUUGUCAGAGGUGAAAUUCUUAGAUUUAUUAAAGAUGAACUACUGCGAAAGCAUUUACCAAGGGUGUUUUCAUUAAUCAAGAACGAAAGUCAGGGGAUCGAAGAGGAUUAGAUACCCUCGUAGUCUUGACCAUAAACUAUGCCGACUCAGGAUUGGCACCCUUUUUUAACAGGGUGUCAGCACUGUAUGAAAAAUCAAAGUCUUUGGGUUCCGGGGGGAGUAUGGUCGCAAGGCUGAAACUAA